AUUGAACGCUGGCGGCAGGCCUAACACAUGCAAGUCGAGCGGAGCGGCGGACGGGUGAGUAAUGCCUAGGAAUCUGCCUGGUAGUGGGGGAUAACGUCCGGAAACGGGCGCUAAUACCGCAUACUAUCAGAUGAGCCUAGGUCGGAUUAGCUAGUUGGUGAGGUAAAGGCCUACAAAGGCGACGAUCCGUAACUGGUCUGAGAGGAUGAUCAGUCAAACUGGAAUUGAGACACGGUCAUGACUCCGAUGGGAGGGAGCAGUGGGGAAUAAUGGACAAUGGGCGAAAGCCUGAGCCAGCCAUGCCGCGGGUGUGAGGAAGGUCUUCGGAUUGUAAAGCACUUUAAGUUGGGAGGCGUUACCAACAGAAUAAGCACCGGCUAAAUUCGUGCCAGCAGCCGCGGUAAUUC
rnacentral:rRNA from 1 species